GACGAACGCUGGCGGCAUGCCUUACACAUGCAAGUCGAACGGCAGCACGGGAGCAAUCCUGGUGGCGAGUGGCGAACGGGUGAGUAAUAUAUCGGAACGUGCCCAGUCGUAGGGGAUAACGUAGCGAAAGCUACGCUAAUACCGCAUACGAUCUAUGGAUGAAAGCGGGGGAUCGCAAGACCUCGCGCGAUUGGAGCGGCCGAUAUCAGAUUAGGUAGUUGGUGAGGUAAAGGCUCACCAAGCCGACGAUCUGUAGCUGGACUGAGAGGACGACCAGCCACACGGGGACUGAGACACGGCCCAGACUCCUACGGGAGGCAGCAGUGGGGAAUUUUGGACAAUGGGCGCAAGCCUGAUCCAGCAAUGCCGCGUGCGGGAUGAAGGCCUUCGGGUUGUAAACUGCUUUUGUACGGAACGAAACGGCGAGCUCUAAUACAGCUUGCUAAUGACGGUACCGUAAGAAUAAGCACCGGCUAACUACGUGCCAGCCGCCGCAGUAA
rnacentral:rRNA from 1 species